rnacentral:rRNA from 1 species
UACGUAGGGGGGCUAGCGUUGUCCGGAAUCAUUGGGCGUAAAGCGCGUGUAGGCGGUCCGGUAAGUCCGCUGUGAAAGCCAGGGGCUCAACCCUUGGAUGCCGGUGGAUACUGUCGGGCUUGAGUACGGAAGAGGCGAGUGGAAUUCCUGGUGUAGCGGUGAAAUGCGCAGAUAUCAGGAGGAACACCAAUUGCGAAGGCAGCUCGCUGGGACGUAACUGACGCUGAGACGCGAAAGCGUGGGGAGCAAACAGG